rnacentral:lncRNA from 1 species
UCACCCUUCCCGUUUUUGUUGUCGCUUCUGAGCCAUCAAUUAUGGAGCCAGGGGUGGGGACUGCAGAUGGGGAGCAACAACCCCAGGGGUCCUGCCAUGUUCUCCCUGGAGCCAAGGCCCUGCUCACCCCCAUCACCCUGAGUUUUUCUGGUUGCUCCUGUGUGACAGGUGACAGUUUAUGAAAGGAACAGUACAUGUGGGUCAUAUGAGCAAGGGGACAGCCCAGAUGCUUGCCUGGCCCUCAGGAAUGGCCCCUCUUGUUCUCUUGCUCUGUUGUGAUCACCAGAGUGGAGGGGCCUCCCCUGCACACAGGGAAAGGCAGGAGCCGGGGAGACUCAGCACCUGGCAACAAUGAUGGUGCAUGUCACCGUGGUAACACCAGCAUCUUGGGACAGCCUGAGUGAGGACUCUCCUCUGGGGACAGAAGCCUGCCACAGCUCACCACCUCCCCUAACCUGGGGUCUCUUUACCAGGCUUCACCUCAACACAUGGAUGCCGGAUGUCAGACUCCUCCCUAGUGCCCUGUCACCAUGGCCAGGUUACCAAAAUGACUUGUCCAGUGUGGCCCUACCCAGCUACAUUCAGAUGAUACAAGGCACAAAGAGACAGGGCCUUGGGGACAGCUGGGGUUUGGGCACUGUCCUCAGACCCCAUGUCUUAGUGCUGUAAUAAACCUGAGUUCACACUCUACUUGCAGACAUCAGGAACUCAGGGCUCCCGGUGAGGGGCCCACUCUGCCAAUGGCUGAAGCCUCUCCUAGCAGUUUCUGGGGUUCUUUCCUGAGGAGUCACUGCUGAGCCCCAUGACAUCAAACCCUGACCAUGGAGGAGACUUGCCCACAAUGCCACGUAGGCCUACUGUAGUUCUCUUCCACCCCUACUUAACUAUGGGGUUGGGGGUGGGGCAUCCAAAGAGUUCUCCAGCUUCCCUUGGGGCCACCAAGACCCUGUAGGUAUGGGUUCAGGUGACAAAGACUAGUCCAGGGUAAGAAGAGCCAGGUCCCUUGUCUGACCAUCCCAACAGGGAGUCUGCACCUUCCCCAUGGGUGCAUAAAAUGGCAUAAAAUCGGGGCUGGGGAUUUAGCUCAGUGGUAGAGCACUUACCUAGGAAGUGCAAGGCCCUGGGUUCGGUCCCCAGCUCCGAAAAAAAAAAAAAAAUGGCAUAAAAUCUCUCCUUCCCAGCACCAGCUGCUCUGCCCCUGGGGACAGCAACUUGCGGACCUGGACCCUCCCCAUUAGACCUCAGGGUCUCUGAGAGUCAUCCUAAGUGCCAACUCACUGGCCACUGGGGGUGGGGAGGCUCUGUAUCUCUUACUGAGUGUCAGUUUAGCUGACAGCCCCUGCCCCCAGCCCCCAGGAGACCCUGGGCCAUGCUAGGACAGAUGUCAUGAAUGGAUAUGGAAGAGGAGGCCCAGGGUGCUGCAGGGCCCAGGCCGCCCCCACACACUGUCUC